rnacentral:lncRNA from 1 species
CACCGGUGGUAAGAUCAUAAGUGAGAAGGGUGUAGGAACCCUUCUGUCAGUCACGGCGAGCUUGAAGCAAUGCAUCAAGCAGUUUAGAAAGCUGAACUUUCUCAAGGGAGAUAGGGAUCCAGAUCCCCAACCUUGCUUUAGAAUGUUCCACGCUACUCAAGCUCAUACAAAUGCUCAAAUGAACAAGUUUUUGGGCACCAUGGCUGAGUGGUAUAGGUAUGCAGAUAAUAGGAAAAAGAUUGUGAACUUCUGCUCUUACAUCGUGAGGGGCUCGCUUGCAAAGCUAUAUGCUGCAAAAUACAAGCUCCGGUCAAGAGCAAAAGUAUACAAAAUCGGUGCGCGUAACCUGAGCCGCCCAUUGAAGGAGAAGAAAGGGCAGUCUCCUGAGUAUCAGAAUUUGCUAAGGAUGGGCCUUGCCGAGUCAAUCGAUGGGCUCAAAUAUACAAGGUUGUCUCUUGUACCGGAGGCAGAUUAUACUCCAUUCCCUAGUAACUGGAGACCGGAUCAUGAAAAGUCAUUGCUGGAAUAUAUAAAACUAGAGGAUCCAAAGACAUUGGAGGAGCAACAAAGCAGCAUAAGGGAACAAGGUCUUGUUUCACCACAAGAUUACAUUUCAAUGCUUGUUUGGAAUUACAAAAGGAGUACUCUUCCUAGGGAUCAGCUCUCCUUUGUUAAGAGCGAUGAAAGUACGGUGGGAAAUCAACAGUUGCUGGUUGGCUCGAACCAGGAUGAAGAUGACCGCAAAAGCAACGAGGAAGAAAAUGAUGAAAAUAUGGAUGCAGCACAAAUGUAACAAAAGGUUUGUAAUGUACUCACAAAUCAAUAUUUUAGUUUAGCUUAUGCUUUCUUUGAUUACCCAUACGUUCUUUCAAUAUAUAUUGGACAUGCCGAGAGUUUGAGUCUUAUUUUUGUUUCCUGCUAUAAUUUACAUUACAAAUUGACAAUAUUUUUAGCUACUGCCUCUCUCCGUUUGGUGCUAGUGAUGGUAUAACAUACUUAUGUAUUGUUAUAUUUGCCACUUUAAUAAACUGUAGGAUACUACCAUGAUCACUAUCAACAAACCAAUCUUUAGUCCAACUAUGAGUUGUUGGCUACAUGGAAUUCUAUUAUGCUGUUCAUCAUAAACUCAUGAAUCACUACGUAUUGUAGGACAAUGAGAGCCUUCCCAUAGAACAUAUAACUAAAGGUAUAAUGUUUCUUGACCAUGUGUUGUGUAGGAGAGUUGUUUAUCCCACUCUUAGGUACACUGCCACCGGUGGUAAGAUCAUAAGUGAGAAGGGUGUAGGAACCCUUCUGUCAGUCACGGCGAGCUUGAAGCAAUGCAUCAAGCAGUUUAGAAAGCUGAACUUUCUCAAGGGAGAUAGGGAUCCAGAUCCCCAACCUUGCUUUAGAAUGUUCCACGCUACUCAAGCUCAUACAAAUGCUCAAAUGAACAAGUUUUUGGGCACCAUGGCUGAGUGGUAUAGGUAUGCAGAUAAUAGGAAAAAGAUUGUGAACUUCUGCUCUUACAUCGUGAGGGGCUCG